rnacentral:piRNA from 1 species
AUUUCAACAGAGAUGGCAAG